rnacentral:rRNA from 1 species
GAUGAACGCUGGCGGCGUGCUUAACACAUGCAAGUCGAACGAAGCACUCUAUUUGAUUUUCUUCGGAAAUGAAGAUUUUGUGACUGAGUGGCGGACGGGUGAGUAACGCGUGGGUAACCUGCCUCAUACAGGGGGAUAACAGUUGGAAACGACUGCUAAUACCGCAUAAGCGCACAGGAUCGCAUGAUCCGGUGUGAAAAACUCCGGUGGUAUGAGAUGGACCCGCGUCUGAUUAGCCAGUUGGCAGGGUAACGGCCUACCAAAGCGACGAUCAGUAGCCGACCUGAGAGGGUGACCGGCCACAUUGGGACUGAGACACGGCCCAAACUCCUACGGGAGGCAGCAGUGGGGAAUAUUGCACAAUGGGGGAAACCCUGAUGCAGCGACGCCGCGUGAGCGAAGAAGUAUUUCGGUAUGUAAAGCUCUAUCAGCAGGGAAGAAGAAUGACGGUACCUGACUAAGAAGCACCG